AACAAACGCUGGCGGCGUGCCUAAUACAUGCAAGUCGAACGGGGAAAGCCUUCGGGUGAGUACUAGUGGCGCACGGGUGAGUAACACGUGGGUAAUCUUCCUCGAAGCGUGGGAUAACUAGUCGAAAGAUUAGCUAAUACCACAUAAGACCACAGGAUCUGCGGAUCCAGAGGUCAAAGUUUUUCGCUUUGAGAUGAGCCCGCGCAAGAUUAGCUAGUUGGUGAGGUAAUGGCUCACCAAGGCAACGAUCUUUAGCUGGUCUGAGAGGAUGAUCAGCCACACUGGAACUGAGACACGGUCCAGACUCCUACGGGAGGCAGCAGUAGGAAUAUUGCACAAUGGAGGAAACUCUGAUGCAGCGACGCCGCGUGAGUGAUGAAGGACUUUCGGGUUCGUAAAGCUCUGUCGUAUGGGAAUAAGAAAGUGAAUGUACCAUG
rnacentral:rRNA from 1 species